GACGAACGCUGGCGGCGUGCUUAACACAUGCAAGUCGAACGGAAAGGCCCUGCUUUUGUGGGGUGCUCGAGUGGCGAACGGGUGAGUAACACGUGAGUAACCUGCCCUUGACUUUGGUAUAACUUCAGGUAACUGGGGCUAAUACCGGAUAGGAGCUCCUGCUGCAUGGUGGGGGGUGGAAAGUUUCGGCUGUUGGGGAUGGACUCGCGGCUUAUCAGCUUGUUGGUGGGGUAGUGGCUUACCAAGGCUUUGACGGGUAGCCGGCCUGAGAGGGUGACCGGCCACAUUGGGACUGAGAUACGGACCAGACUCCUACGGGAGGCAGUAGUGGGGAAUAUUGCACAAUGGGCGGAAGCCUGAUGCAGAAACGCCGCGUGCGGGAUGACGGCCUUCGGGUUGUAAACCGCUUUCGCCUGUGACGAAGCGGGAGUGACGGUACUGGGUAAAGAAGCACCGGCUAACUACGUG
rnacentral:rRNA from 1 species